UCAUGAUGAACGCUAGCGACAGGCUUAACACAUGCAAGUCGAGGGGCAGCGGGGGUAGCAAUACCCGCCGGCGACCGGCGCACGGGUGAGUAACGCGUAUGCAACUUACCUAUCAGAGGGGGAUAACCCGGCGAAAGUCGGACUAAUACCGCAUGAAGCAGGGGCCCCGCAUGGGGAUAUUUGCUAAAGAUUCAUCGCUGAUAGAUAGGCAUGCGUUCCAUUAGGCAGUUGGCGGGGUAACGGCCCACCAAACCGACGAUGGAUAGGGGUUCUGAGAGGAAGGUCCCCCACAUUGGUACUGAGACACGGACCAAACUCCUACGGGAGGCAGCAGUGAGGAAUAUUGGUCAAUGGCCGAGAGGCUGAACCAGCCAAGUCGCGUGAGGGAUGAAGGUUCUAUGGAUCGUAAACCUCUUUUAUAAGGGAAUAAAGUGCGGGACGUGUCCCGUUUUGUAUGUACCUUAUGAAUAAGGAUCGGCUAACUCCGUGCCAGCAGCCGCGGUAAUACGGAGGAUCCGAGCGUUAUCCGGAUUUAUUGGGUUUAAAGGGUGCGUAGGCGGCCUUUUAAGUCAGCGGUGAAAGUCUGUGGCUCAACCAUAGAAUUGCCGUUGAAACUGGGGGGCUUGAGUAUGUUUGAGGCAGGCGGAAUGCGUGGUGUAGCGGUGAAAUGCAUAGAUAUCACGCAGAACCCCGAUUGCGAAGGCAGCCUGCCAAGCCAUUACUGACGCUGAUGCACGAAAGCGUGGGGAUCAAACAGGAUUAGAUACCCUGGUAGUCCACGCAGUAAACGAUGAUCACUAGCUGUUUGCGAUACACUGUAAGCGGCACAGCGAAAGCGUUAAGUGAUCCACCUGGGGAGUACGCCGGCAACGGUGAAACUCAAAGGAAUUGACGGGGGCCCGCACAAGCGGAGGAACAUGUGGUUUAAUUCGAUGAUACGCGAGGAACCUUACCCGGGUUUGAACGCAUUCGGACCGAGGUGGAAACACCUUUUCUAGCAAUAGCCGUUUGCGAGGUGCUGCAUGGUUGUCGUCAGCUCGUGCCGUGAGGUGUCGGCUUAAGUGCCAUAACGAGCGCAACCCUUGCCACUAGUUACUAACAGGUGAUGCUGAGGACUCUGGUGGGACUGCCAGCGUAAGCUGCGAGGAAGGCGGGGAUGACGUCAAAUCAGCACGGCCCUUACAUCCGGGGCGACACACGUGUUACAAUGGCGUGGACAAAGGGAGGCCACCUGGCGACAGGGAGCGAAUCCCCAAACCACGUCUCAGUUCGGAUCGGAGUCUGCAACCCGACUCCGUGAAGCUGGAUUCGCUAGUAAUCGCGCAUCAGCCAUGGCGCGGUGAAUACGUUCCCGGGCCUUGUACACACCGCCCGUCAAGCCAUGGGGGCCGGGGGUACCUGAAGUCCGUAACCGAAAGGAUCGCCCUAGGGUA
rnacentral:rRNA from 1 species